AAGUUCUGUGAUACACUCUGACU
rnacentral:miRNA from 1 species